rnacentral:misc_RNA from 1 species
GAUGAAGAACGUAGCGAAAUGCGAUAAGUAAUGUGAAUUGCAGAAUUCAGUGAAUCAUCGAAUCUUUGAACGCACAUUGCGCCCGCUAGUAUUCUGGCGGGCAUGCCUGUCCGAGCGUCAUUUCAACCCUCAAGCCCCCGGGCUUGGUGUUGGGGAUCGGCGAGCCUCCGCGCCCGCCGUCCCCUAAAUCUAGUGGCGGUCUCGCUGUAGCUUCCUCUGCGUAGUAGCACACCUCGCACUGGGAAACAGCGCGGCCACGCCGUUAAACCCCCAACUUCUGAACGUUUGACCUCGGAUCAGGUAGGAAUACCCGCGGAACUUAAGCAUAUCAAUAAGCGGAGGA